rnacentral:rRNA from 1 species
GACGAACGCUGGCGGCGUGCCUAAUACAUGCAAGUUGAGCGCUGAAGGUUGGUACUUGUACCAACUGGAUGAGCAGCGAACGGGUGAGUAACGCGUGGGGAAUCUGCCUUUGAGCGGGGGACAACAUUUGGAAACGAAUGCUAAUACCGCAUAAAAACUUUAAACACAUGUUUUAAGUUUGAAAGAUGCAAUUGCAUCACUCAAAGAUGAUCCCGCGUUGUAUUAGCUAGUUGGUGAGGUAAAGGCUCACCAAGGCGAUGAUACAUAGCCGACCUGAGAGGGUGAUCGGCCACAUUGGGACUGAGACACGGCCCAAACUCCUACGGGAGGCAGCAGUAGGGAAUCUUCGGCAAUGGAUGAAAGUCUGACCGGGCAACGCCGCGUGAGUGAAGAAGGGUUUCGGAUCGUAAAACUCUGUUGAUAGAGAAGAACGUUGGUGAGAGUGGAAAGCUCAUCAAGUGACGGUAACUACCCAGAAAGGGACGGCUAACUACGUG